CAUGGCUCAGGACGAACGCUGGCGGCGUGCUUAACACAUGCAAGUCGAACGGAAAGGCCCUUCGGGGUACUCGAGUGGCGAACGGGUGAGUAACACGUGGGUGAUCUGCCCUGCACUUUGGGAUAAGCCUGGGAAACUGGGUCUAAUACCGAAUAGGACUACGCUCUUCAUGGGGUGUGGUGGAAAGCUUUUGCGGUGUGGGAUGGGCCCGCGGCCUAUCAGCUUGUUGGUGGGGUAAUGGCCUACCAAGGCGACGACGGUAGCCGGCCUGAGAGGUGACCGGCCACACUGGGACUGAGAUACGGCCCAGACUCCUACGGGAGGCAGCAGUGGGGAAUAUUGCACAAUGGGCGCAAGCCUGAUGCAGCGACGCCGCGUGAGGGAUGACGGCCUUCGGGUUGUAAACCUCUUUCAAUAGGGACGAAGCGCAAGUGACGGUACCUAUAGAAGAAGGACCGGCCAACUACGUGCCAGCAGCCGCGGUAAUACGUAGGGUCCGAGCGUUGUCCGGAAUUACUGGGCGUAAAGAGCUCGUAGGUGGUUUGUCGCGUUGUUCGUGAAAACUCACAGCUUAACUGUGGGCGUGCGGGCGAUACGGGCAGACUAGAGUACUGUCAGGGGAGACUGGAAUUCCUGGUGUAGCGGUGGANUGCGCAGAUAUCAGGAGGAACACCGGUGGCGAAGGCGGGUCUCUGGGCAGUAACUGACGCUGAGGAGCGAAAGCGUGGGGAGCGAACAGGAUUAGAUACCCUG
rnacentral:rRNA from 1 species